rnacentral:rRNA from 1 species
UACGAAGGGGGCUAGCGUUGCUCGGAAUCACUGGGCGUAAAGGGUGCGUAGGCGGGUUUUUAAGUCAGGGGUGAAAUCCUGGAGCUCAACUCCAGAACUGCCUUUGAUACUGGGAGCCUUGAGUUCGGGAGAGGUGAGUGGAACUGCGAGUGUAGAGGUGAAAUUCGUAGAUAUUCGCAAGAACACCAGUGGCGAAGGCGGCUCACUGGCCCGAUACUGACGCUGAGGUGCGAAAGCGUGGGGAGCAAACAGG